rnacentral:lncRNA from 1 species
AUGAAGUUGCAACCAUUUGAUCAUUCACUUCUUGUGCAAUUCUGGAGCUUUUGGGAGCUUAAGAGCAGACACAAGACCUUCCUAAUCAAGCAUAGGACUUCAACUAGAGCCUUCCGGUAAAUUGUACCUACGCUUACUUAAGUGAAUACGACUGAGUUAUUAUUCUUGCUAUUUAAGACAGGAGCUAGCUCAGGUAAAUACUCUUAACUUAUUUUCCCUAUACGGGCUUGGGAUACGGUAUAAUGAUACCGCUUGGUCGGGUAUUGAAUAUUUAAUCGGAUUGUGAUUAAAUUAUUGAGGUAACCCGGUUUGAUCUGUAUUGUUUGAAAUAAAAGCCUUUAGGGGUUAAUGACCAUGUCCCGGAUAUCCUUGACAUCAUUGUAUUAUAAAAUGGCCACGUCUUAAGCACGGGGUGUAGGCAUACACCUGACAGUUGUUUAAGUAAUAACGGUAUCUCACACUCUUGUGGGCCUAUACUUGUGGCGUGUCUGUUAAUCUUGACUCGGUUUCUACAUCGGGCCCUGAACGUACAACGAACAUGUAAAUCUGUAUACAAGAUUAUAAAUAUGAUUGUCUCAAGUUAUAAAAGAUUAAUUUUGCCUCUGUGCAUUUUUAAUCAAAGUGUCAAAAUAAUUUGUGCCUGGUGCAUCUAAAUCAAUUUUCCAAAACUCUUUUCAAAUGAGUCAGUUGAGUGUGUUUACCAGUGAAAACUGACGUAUUUUCAAAAGUCUAAGUGACAGGUACAAGUACGUAAUAGGCUGGAAGCUGCUCAGGAUGUUAAUAAGGAAUCUUGCAAGUUCUCGGCGUCUAAAGUCUGUAGAACAAUGUUUAUAGAUCCGCCUGUGGAUCCCUUACUUUCCGUUGUAAUACUUGGAUAUUACUUUUUAUUCGGAUUGUAAUAUAUAUAUCUUC